rnacentral:rRNA from 1 species
UGGAGCAUGUGGUUUAAUUCGAUGGUACGCGAGGAACCUUACCUGGGUUUUGACAUACAGUGUGAUAGGUCAGAGAUGAUCUAGCGUAGCAAUACGACGCUGUACAGGUGCUGCAUGGCUGUCGUCAGCUCGUGCCGUGAGGUGUUGGGUUAGGUCCCGCAACGAGCGCAACCCCUACUGCCAGUUACUAACAGGUGAAGCUGAGGACUCUGGCGGAACUGCCGGUGACAAACCGGAGGAAGGUGGGAUGACGUCAAGUCAUCAUGGCCCUUAUGUCCAGGGCUACACACGUGCUACAAUGGGUGAGACAGAGUGACGCGAAGCCGCGAGGUGGAGCAAAUCGCAGAAAACCUGUCUCAGUCCGGAUUGAAGUCUGCAACUCGACUUCAUGAAGGCGGAAUCGCUAGUAACCGCGAAUCAGCAGGUCGCGGUGAAUACGUUCCCGGGCCUU